rnacentral:other from 1 species
UGAUUCCUGCAGUGUACGGACUUAUUUAUGUCUUAAACCAACGUUAUGAAUACGGAAGUUCGAUAUUUAAACUCUGACAUCAUGCCUUACAUAAGGAAGAUGAAGGUGUUUGUGAGAGCAUCCACCUGCGAGAGCGGGUUUUAGGGCAUUUACAAGUGACGGCACAUGCGGGUGCAAU